AUUGAACGCUGGCGGCAGGCCUAACACAUGCAAGUCGAGCGGCAGCGGGAAAGUAGCUUGCUACUUUUGCCGGCGAGCGGCGGACGGGUGAGUAAUGCCUGGGGAUCUGCCCAGUCGAGGGGGAUAACUACUGGAAACGGUAGCUAAUACCGCAUACGCCCUACGGGGGAAAGCAGGGGACCUUCGGGCCUUGCGCGAUUGGAUGAACCCAGGUGGGAUUAGCUAGUUGGUGAGGUAAUGGCUCACCAAGGCGACGAUCCCUAGCUGGUCUGAGAGGAUGAUCAGCCACACUGGAACUGAGACACGGUCCAGACUCCUACGGGAGGCAGCAGUGGGGAAUAUUGCACAAUGGGGGAAACCCUGAUGCAGCCAUGCCGCGUGUGUGAAGAAGGCCUUCGGGUUGUAAAGCACUUUCAGCGAGGAGGAAAGGUUGAUAGCUAAUAACUGCCAGCUGUGACGUACUCGCAG
rnacentral:rRNA from 1 species